UCCCGCAUAGCUCAAUUGGCAGAGCACUCGACUGUUAAUCGAGUGGUUCCUGGUUCGAGUCCAGGUGCGGGAGCCC
rnacentral:tRNA from 1 species